rnacentral:rRNA from 1 species
GACGAACGCUGGCGGCGUGCUUAACACAUGCAAGUCGAACGGAAAGGCCCUGCUUUUGUGGGGUGCUCGAGUGGCGAACGGGUGAGUAACACGUGAGUAACCUGCCCUUGACUUUGGGAUAACUUCAGGAAACUGGGGCUAAUACCGGAUAGGAGCUCCUGCUGCAUGGUGGGGGUUGGAAAGUUUCGGCGGUUGGGGAUGGACUCGCGGCUUAUCAGCUUGUUGGUGGGGUAGUGGCUUACCAAGGCUUUGACGGGUAGCCGGCCUGAGAGGGUGACCGGCCACAUUGGGACUGAGAUACGGCCCAGACUCCUACGGGAGGCAGCAGUGGGGAAUAUUGCACAAUGGGCGGACGCCUGAUGCAGCAACGCCGCGUGCGGGAUGACGGCCUUCGGGUUGUAAACCGCUUUCGCCUGUGACGAAGCGUGAGUGACGGUAAUGGGUAAAGAAGCCCCGGCUAACUACGUG